rnacentral:rRNA from 1 species
UACGAAGGGGGCUAGCGUUGUUCGGAAUUACUGGGCGUAAAGCGCGCGCAGGCGGUCUUCCAAGUCAGUGGUGAAAGCCCGGAGCUCAACUCCGGAACUGCCAUUGAAACUGUGAGACUUGAGGAUGAGAGAGGUGAGUGGAAUUCCCAGUGUAGAGGUGAAAUUCGUAGAUAUUGGGAAGAACAUCGGUGGCGAAGGCGGCUCACUGGCUCAUUUCUGACGCUCAGGCGCGACAGCGUGGGGAUCAAACAGG